ensembl:lncRNA
GUAUGAUAGAUGAAUAGUGAAGUCUGUAGUUUGAGAGGAUAUGUUAUUUAUAAGGAAUAUAAUUAUAUUUAAAAAAAAUUAAACAUUUUUUGAAAAAGUCAUAGGUUGUGGGGUAAAACGCCCCCUACGCUGAGGGGUAAAACGCCCCCCAGAGGGCAUAGUUUCUCUCUAUCAUAAUUACUAUAAUAACAUAUUUCUGUCUAUCAAAUCCUUUGUUUUACACUUAAUGCAGUAUAACUAGGUGGUAAAAUCAAAAUAUUUGAACAAAAGAAAAAAAAUUACCUCAAGUGAGCAUUAGGCUAGCUUGAUAGCACAGUUAGCUCACUGAUGGAAGGUGGUUAGGUGACCCAAUGAUAAAACAUAGUGGCUUUUAAUGCAUUUAUUGAAUGUAUUUCACUACAUAAAUAUACAAAUUUAUAAGUUUAAUAUUUAUUUAGGGAUUUCUGUUUUUCUUGGUGAUAGUGGUGAACAAAUACAUCAAUUAUCAACCCCAUAAAGGCCUAGUGUAGAAAUCUCAACCUCAUAUAUAUAUUUUUUUUCUCUCCAUAUAGAUGCGGACAUAUAAAAGAAAAAGUAACCGUGGUGCUUAUACAGUGCAAGCUCUACAAAAUGAGAUUCGAGGGGAAUUCAUCUGUGAAAUGUGCAUGGAUGAACAGUGAAUGGCUAAUGAAUUAAUGUUUAUUUAUUUAUUUAUUAUUUGUUUGCAUGACUUAGUUAUAUGUAUAAAUUUAAAUGUUAAAAAUUUGGAUAUGUUGGACAUUUCUCAAAUAAAUAUUAAUAUAUAUAUAGGCCUAUACAUGUUUAUACAUUACUUGCCUUUUACUUUUAGAGAUUAAAAACUAGUCUGUUAAUUUUGCUGUUGAUCUAUGAAGCAAACUGGUUGGUAAGAAAGGGGGCAUUUUACCCCACCUUGGGGGGCGUUUUACCCCACCGCUGGGGCAAAACGCCCCCUUUGUACAAAAAAUAUUUUCAGUCAAAAUACUAAUUAAUUAUGAAGGCUGAGCAAUUUUAAUAUUUGGUGAAUAAUUCCUGCCAUAGUCACUCAAAACCGGGAUGGCAAUUCUAGUCACAUUUAUGUUUUGUUUCACUAUAAUGUCACAUUUUCCUUAAGGGGGCGUUUUCCCCCACUCUACCCCGAUGAAAUUCUCUCAAAAUACAAAAGAAAACAUAUAACUGAACAAAAAAUAAAUUAGAAUGAUUUUACUGAAGAAAAACA